rnacentral:antisense_RNA from 1 species
CACUGGUGGGACGUGGUGGGGAAGCCUUCGGGCUUGCUGGUUUACUUUUUCGCCAGUCUGUCAACCCUGCCACGUUCUCGCCACCU